UGGGCCUAAAGCGUUCGUAGCCGGCCUUACAAGUCUCUGGUUAAAUUUCAAGGCUUAACCUUGAGCGUGCUGGAGAUACUGUUAGGCUAGGGGGCGGGAGAGGUUGAGGGUACUUCACGGGUAGGGGCGAAAUCCUAUAAUCCGUGAAGGACCACCAGUGGCGAAGGCGCUCAACUGGAACGCGCCCGACGGUGAGGGACGAAAGCCAGGGGAGCAAAGGGGAUUAGAUACCCCCGUAGUCCUGGCCGUAAACGAUGCGGGUUAGGUGUUGGGUUGGCUUCGUGCCAACCCGGUGCCGCAGCGAAGGCGAUAAGCCCGCCGCCUGGGAAGUACGGCUGCAAGGCUGAAACUUAAAGGAAUUGGCGGGGGAGCACCACAAGGGGUGAAGCCUGCGGUUUAAUUGGAGUCAACGCCGGGAAUCUUACCGGGAGCGACAGUAGAAUGAAGGCCAAGCUGACGACUUUGCUAGACAGACUGAGAGGAGGUGCAUGGCCGUCGCCAGUUCGUGCCGUGAGGUGUCCGGUUAAGUCCGGCAACGAACGAGACCCCCAUCCUUUGUUGCUAAGCUUUCUCUACGGAGGGAGCCGCACACGGAGGAGACUGCUAGUGUUAAACUAGAGGAAGGAGGGGGCUACGGCAGGUCAGCAUGCCCCGAAUCUCCCGGGCCACACGCGGGCUGCAAUGGC
rnacentral:rRNA from 1 species